CCCGACCCGCCCGCCCCGGCUGCACCUGUCUCGGCGCGCCGGGAGCGCGGUGUCCGCCCCGCUGAUGGGGCUGCGGGCGGCACCUUCCCCCGGGGAGGAGGAGAAGGAGGAGGAGAAGGAGGCGAGCCGGUGGCGGAGGUUUUCUGUGACUGUUCCAUGUCCUCCUCCUGCUGCUGCUGCUGCAGCCAACGUGGAUCCGAAUGCCGUGGCUACAAAGGCUUGUCACUGUCUCAUGCUGGGUCCCUCACAUCCAAGAGCUACUUGGCAGUUUCCAAGGCAACCACCUGUGGAAUAAUUAAAAAGGAUGGAGUGUUAGCGUGCCAGAUAUAAGGAAUUCUUGCCUGGAGAGAGCGUUUCACUUUCUUCCGUCUUGAAGAAUCAAAACGUGCUUCUGGCCAGCGAAGUUAAGAAAAAGAAAUGGUGGCUGAGUUGCACAAGUGAACCAGGACAACGCAAAAUUAAGUCAAAGAGGAAUGCUCCUUUUCCUAUUUUUUCACCCAGUGCCAUCUGCCGCGGUGUCUGCGAUGUAUUUCAGUCCUGACGAAAUCCCCCCGCCUCAGCGGUACCUCCGCACGCUGUCGUAAGGAUGAUGUGACAAGCAGAGCUGGCAAGUUGUUCCCAC